rnacentral:rRNA from 1 species
GAUGAACGCUGGCGGCGUGCUUAACACAUGCAAGUCGAACGGAAAGGCCCAAGCUUGCUUGGGUACUCGAGUGGCGAACGGGUGAGUAACACGUGGGUGAUCUGCCCUGCACUUCGGGAUAAGCCUGGGAAACUGGGUCUAAUACCGGAUAGGACCACAUUUUGGAUGGUGUGGUGGAAAGUUUUUCGGUGUGGGAUGAGCUCGCGGCCUAUUAGCUUGUUGGGGGGGUAAUGGCCUACCAAGGCGUCGGCGGGUAGCCGGCCUGAGAGGGUGUACGGCCACAUUGGGACUGAGAUACGGCCCAGACUCCUACGGGAGGCAGCAGUGGGGAAUAUUGCACAAUGGGCGCAAGCCUGAUGCAGCGACGCCGCGUGGGGGAUGACGGCCUUCGGGUUGUAAACUCCUUUCGCUAGGGACGAAGCGUUAUGUGACGGUACCUGGAGAAGAAGCACCGGCUAACUACGUG